CGUCGUUGAUGCCUAUCGGCGCUUGUUUAUAUAGUAUAAAGUAUAUGAUGUACAACAAUAGAGUGGAAAAAGAUUUGUCGGAUCAUUAAUCAGUUUUCUGCCGAAUAUUAUGAAGUGUACAUGGUUGUGGAGGGAAUGUUGUAACAAUGGUUUUUGUACCUAAACUCACAUUUUAUUUAUUUCGAUCGAACGCCUUAUGCAUUAAGUUUUUUUCACUUCGCAUUCAAACUCAAAAAUGGCAUCACGGUAUACGAACUUACGGAAGUUCUUUUCGGUUUUUUACUGCGUUUAUUCAUAUUCAUAAUGUUA